rnacentral:tRNA from 1 species
GGAGAGAUGGCUCAGUGGUUAAGAGCACUGACUGCUCUUCCAGAGGUCCUGAGUUCAAAUCCCAGCAACCGCA